rnacentral:rRNA from 1 species
UACGGGAGAUGCAAGCGUUAUCCGGAAUGAUUGGGCGUAAAGCGUUUGAACAGGUGGUUUAUGAAAGUCGAUUGUUAAAACCCAAGGCUUAACCUUGGACCGGCAAUGGAAACUUCUAAACUAGAGUUUGGUAGAGGUAGACGGAAUUACCGGUGUAACGGUGAAAUGUGCAGAUAUCGGUAAAAACUCCAAUGGCGAAAGCAGUCUACUGGGCCACAAACUGACACUUAAGAACGAAAGCUAGGGGAGCGAAUAGG